AAGACAAACUUGAAACUGUAUUUCAUCUGGACGAAGGCAAUCUUAGCUCAAGAAUAACAUACAGCGUAUUAAACCACAAUCUUUGGCUCCACGACAACUUGAAGUCCUCGGAAUUAAGACAUACUUGGGACGUAUCUUUUGCUCCAGAAUUCGGAAUUGUAGCCUUCGGUUCGGAUAAACUUUUGUAAACCUCCGCGGACCGUCCUUUGAAUGCUGGUGUGCUUUUGCGUGGCAUCUUUUCAGAACUAAGUUCAUUUAAUCUUCUAUUUAUUAAGCCUCAAAACUGUACUCCCGAAUUCUAGGAACAAGUCCAAGCUGAACUGAUAAGGCCCCACUGUUAUCAACAAGCUUUUCUCAAGAGUAUUUCUAGUAUAUCGAACAAUUCAAGAUGCCGGAAAUAAAAUCCCCUAGGCCUUACUUUUAUCUUAAAUUCUUUUUACAAGCCGAGCUCCAGACAUCUGGAAAAAUAAAUACGUAUUUU
ensembl:ncRNA lncRNA:CR45269 long non-coding RNA:CR45269